GGGUGUGAUAAUCACCAGUUCCUGCCUACUGGAAAAUUGUCCAAAAACAGUGAUUUGUUUGACACAGACCACAGAAGAGCUUUCAGAUGGCAAAUUCAUAUCACUGAUACCAAUGAGGUCUGUGCAAACUAGAUUUGAGCUGAGCUUGGGAGGAUUAUAAAGCUGUUCAUCCCAACCCUGCAAGUAUCAGUCCUGCUACAUGGCUGCUCAAAGAACGUGACCUAGGAACUGUGCAAGCUAAUGCUGCUCACAGCGAUCUACCCCAUGUGGUGUGGCACAGAGCCACUAGUAAAGGAUUUGUAUGCAGAAGAGCAGCGAAAACAAGGCUGCAUGAGAGAAGUGCUUAAGGGAGGCAAAUGUGACCAAGUCCCUCUUGUUGCUACAUCUCCCCAGACAAGGGCUGCUGAUCCAGCUUAUGCAGUGAAGGCACUGGGAAGAACUGAGAAAUAGCACUUUUUCCUAUACCCAUUAAACAUGUAAAAUUUACCAAAUAUACCACCAA